GAUGAACGCUGGCGGCGUGCCUAACACAUGCAAGUCGAGCGGACGGACGGGACGUUUUCUUCUAUGAUGUUAGGGGCGGGCGGGUGAGUCACACGAGGCUACCUUGCCUAUAUGAAUGGGAUCACUUCGCGAAACCUGAUAUAACACAGGCUAAUAUUUUGAAACGCGUGGUUCAUCAGUGAAAGCCGGAUUUGCUGUGCCUUAUAGGUGGUUCCGCGCUGCAUUAGCUAGUUGGUACGGUAACGGCUUACCAAGGCUACGCUGCGUAGCCGAUCUGAGAGGGUGAUCGGCCACACUGGAACUGAGACACGGUCCAGACUCCUACGGGAGGCAGCAGUAGGGAAUCUUGCGCAAUGGGCGAAAGCCUGACGCAGCAACGCCGCGUGUGUGAUGAAGGUCUUCGGAUCGUAAAGCUCUUUUAGUUGGGAGGAACAGAUGUGUAAUGAACCGUGCCCAUCUUGACGUUACCUAAUCAAAAAGCCCCGGCUAACUACGUG
rnacentral:rRNA from 1 species